rnacentral:rRNA from 1 species
GGUGAAUGCUGGCGGCGUGGAUGAGGCAUGCAAGUCGAAUGGGUUUAGACCCAUGGCAGACGAGGUAGGAACACGUAGGUACAUACCCCAAAGUCACGGAUAACCUGGAGAAAUCCAGAAUAAUACGUGAUAGUCACUUCGGUGUAAAGAUUUAUCGCUUUGGGAAUGGCCUGCGUUCUAUCAGCUUGUUGGUAAGGUAACGGCUUACCAAGGCUACGACGGAUAGGGGAGGUGAGAGCCUGGCCCCCACCGAUGGAACUGCGACACGGUCCUU